AUUGAACGCUGGCGGCAGGCCUAACACAUGCAAGUCGAACGGUAGCACAGAGAGCUUGCUCUCGGGUGACGAGCGGCGGACGGGUGAGUAAUGUCUGGGAAACUGCCUGAUGGAGGGGGAUAACUACUGGAAACGGUAGCUAAUACCGCAUAACGUCGCAAGACCAAAGUGGGGGACCUUCGGGCCUCAUGCCAUCAGAUGUGCCCAGAUGGGAUUAGCUAGUAGGUGGGGUAACGGCUCACCUAGGCGACGAUCCCUAGCUGGUCUGAGAGGAUGACCAGCCACACUGGAACUGAGACACGGUCCAGACUCCUACGGGAGGCAGCAGUGGGGAAUAUUGCACAAUGGGCGCAAGCCUGAUGCAGCCAUGCCGCGUGUGUGAAGAAGGCCUUCGGGUUGUAAAGCACUUUCAGCGGGGAGGAAGGCGGUGAGGUUAAUAACCUCAUCGAUUGACGUUACCCGCAGAAGAAGCGCCGGCUAACUCCGUGCCAGCAGCCGCGGUAAUACGGAGGGUGCAAGCGUUAAUCGGAAUUACUGGGCGUAAAGCGCACGCAGGCGGUCUGUCAAGUCGGAUGUGAAAUCCCCGGGCUCAACCUGGGAACUGCAUUCGAAACUGGCAGGCUAGAGUCUUGUAGAGGGGGGUAGAAUUCCAGGUGUAGCGGUGAAAUGCGUAGAGAUCUGGAGGAAUACCGGUGGCGAAGGCGGCCCCCUGGACAAAGACUGACGCUCAGGUGCGAAAGCGUGGGGAGCAAACAGGAUUAGAUACCCUGGUAGUCCACGCCGUAAACGAUGUCGAUUUGGAGGUUGUGCCCUUGAGGCGUGGCUUCCGGAGCUAACGCGUUAAAUCGACCGCCUGGGGAGUACGGCCGCAAGGUUAAAACUCAAAUGAAUUGACGGGGGCCCGCACAAGCGGUGGAGCAUGUGGUUUAAUUCGAUGCAACGCGAAGAACCUUACCUGGUCUUGACAUCCACAGAACUUUCCAGAGAUGGAUUGGUGCCUUCGGGAACUGUGAGACAGGUGCUGCAUGGCUGUCGUCAGCUCGUGUUGUGAAAUGUUGGGUUAAGUCCCGCAACGAGCGCAACCCUUAUCCUUUGUUGCCAGCGGUUAGGCCGGGAACUCAAAGGAGACUGCCAGUGAUAAACUGGAGGAAGGUGGGGAUGACGUCAAGUCAUCAUGGCCCUUACGACCAGGGCUACACACGUGCUACAAUGGCAUAUACAAAGAGAAGCGACCUCGCGAGAGCAAGCGGACCUCAUAAAGUAUGUCGUAGUCCGGAUUGGAGUCUGCAACUCGACUCCAUGAAGUCGGAAUCGCUAGUAAUCGUAGAUCAGAAUGCUACGGUGAAUACGUUCCCGGGCCU
rnacentral:rRNA from 1 species